UGUGAGCCCUGGGAACCUCAUGAAUAGUGGGCCAGAAGACAGCUUUAGUUGAAGAAAUCCAAGCACACACACAAUAUACAUGAGCACACAUACAUAACAUAUAUACACGUGUGCACACCUGGACAUGUUUCUUUUUGUACUUUGGAGACAGAGUCUCACCUAGCCUCAUAAAGACCUUCAACUCACUAUGUAGCUAGGGCUGACCUUGAACUCCUGAUCCUUCUACCUCCUAUUCCCCAGUGCUCUGAGCCACUAUUCCUGGUUAUAUUUUUCAUUUUAGACACAGAAGUGACCAUCCUUAUCCACCCAAAUACUCGAUAGAACUUUGAUACAGCGGUAGACUGUGACCCACAUCUACGACUAUCUGACGGUGUGGCACACACCUCCAUGAUACACAGACCACAUACGGAGUCCUGACACACAGAGCCGACACCUCAUGAAACUGAGGCACUGUACCCUUUGAAGACCCCUGUGGGACCAGACAAAGUUAUUUGGAUAGACACUGUGUCUCAAAAAGAAGGGCUCCAUUCUCUCCCCACUUCUUCACUUCUCAGUGAACACCCACCCAUCAUCCAGACUUCCUCUUUAUCCACAAGGAAGAAGGAAAAAGAUCAGCUGAAAUACUGAAAGAUGUGUCUCUAGGUGACUAAGAUCACUGGCCCACAGGCACACAAGAGACCACAGGGAACAGUCAUGGCUAAUGAGGGUGAUCUGAGAAGACACGCUCCUGCUUGGAUUCCUGGCUGAGUUCGAGAGUUCCUGAAGCUAAACAGCAAGCCAAGUUCACAGCUGUCCUUCAAGAAGCAUCUGCAGGUGCUCACAGGGCACAGGACACUGAGGUUUAGUUCACGGUCCCUUCUCUUAGCUACUUUUCUAACCUGUGAUAAAACACCACUUACAGAAGGAAGGAUUCCUUUGAGGCUUACAGUUUCCAGAGGGAUAGGACACCAUGAGCAUCAUGGCGGGGAGCUUGGCAGCAGGCAGGCAGGCAUGGGGCUGGAGCAGCCGCUGAGAGCUCACAUCCCGAUCCGCAAAGAGGAAGUAAAGCAGAGUAGGAGGGACACAAAUCUUUUGAAACCUUAAGCCUACUCCAAGUGAAACACCUCCUUCUAGUCCUUCCCAAACAGUUCCAUUAACUGCAGACCAAUUAUUCAAACAUAUGAACCUACUGGGGCUGUUCUUAUCCAAAUCCACCACAUCAAUGUCAAGUCAGUUUUCUACUCUAAACAUCCAGGCACCUUGACUGCAGGCCACAGCUCCUCAUCCUAAGCCAGUGGGCUUCAUUUACUUUUCCCACUGACCGGUUAUCCUCUUUGCGAGUUCACGGGUGCCUCACAGAUCCAUACACCACCUCGAAGCCACACAACAACAACCAUGGUGGCCUUCCUGAGUGCAUUCUUCCAAGAGAUGCUCGGCUUCAGUCUUUUCU